CCUUGAGAAUUUGGCCAGGCUCUCCCUCUUCACGGCUCUUCAUGUGUUUGGUCUUGAGGUUGACAUCUUUGAUGACGAUGGUGCUGUUGUGAGUAAAGAUCUUAGUGACUUCUCCAAUUUUGCCCUUGUCUCGUCCAGAUAUAACUUUGACCGUAUCACCAAACUUGACAUGCAUUUUGUGCAGAAUUGGAAGACUGUUUGGUUUGCAUUUCUUCCGUUCCCAACGCUUAAGCUGAAAGAAAGAAAAAGAAAAAAAAACACAUCAUAAUCCUGUUAAUGCCCUUAGGAAUCAAUCAAGAGAUGAAACUCAACAACAUUACCAAAAGAAUGAGGUAAAGGAUCUUGGUUACUAACCUUUGCGUAAACAAGACAUGGGUUCUGGGCGGGCUUGACCUGCAAUGAGUUACAAAAGAAAAGCAGAGUAAUUAAGGAACCAAACCCCACCCCAACUGCAAACACUUUGCCUAAAAAAACGCUAAACCAUUCUUCUGACUCAGUAUAAGUUCGUUCGAGCAACAAAACCAUAAUCAACCAAAAUGUACAUCACCAGGUGCUAAAUGCAUUCUUUAGAUUCCAAAAGGUUCACCAACCAAUCAAUCAAACGAGCACACAAAAAUAAGAGAUCCUAACUUAAAAGUUUUAGAUGCAUCGCCAAGCCAAGUAGAGAUAAACAGUUGUCUUUUGAGAAAAAAAUCAAAGUUAUAGAAUUUAAAGUGUUCAUAACUUCAUCUCAGUUCAGUACUAACACAGAAAAAGACAAAGAGACAAUUCACAUUCUCCAAUCCAUUCUCCACUAAACAUAACUCAUAGCGCAGAAACACACAACAAAGUUUCAAUCUUUACUCCUUUUAGAGAAAAAAUUUAGAAUUGGCACCAAAAUUCACCAUACCAAAAGCUUAAUAAAUGAAACUAAUCAACAGGUCCAAUGAAAGAUAUCAAACCCGUUACAGGGCUAAAUGUUCGAGCUAAACGUGGCAAUGUCUUUGAUUAGAACGAGAAAUUCGAAAACGGGAGUUACCGGAGAAGCGGCGGAGAGGGAAAGCGGGGAAAGGAGACGCUGGCCGAGGAAGGAGGAGUUGGACUUGGAGGAUAGCGAAAGAGAUGUAAACGAGCUCUGAAGAGAAGUCAUCAUGGUCGCCAUUCUUUUCAGAGUAACUCCCGCUUGCUAAGUGGGGGGGCUAACACUUCAUGUCUCUGUUCGUCUCAAGGCGAUAAGACGAGGAUAACGAUUAUCUCUUUACUGUUAAACGACACCGUUUUAGUACCAUGAUUAACUUCACUGGUGGGUUUUUGGCUAAGGUUUGGGCUUAAAUAUUGUCUGCUUUGGUGUAAUACCCCAAACAUAUACUCCCUCCGUUUAUGAUGUUUUAGAAAUUUUUUGUUGUUUCGAAAUAGAUGAUGUUUUGAUUUUUUAUGUUAUUUUUAACUUUAUUGAAAACUGUGUAAUCAAUUAGAUGUUAUAGUCAUUUUUAUAAUUGGUCGGAUGAUUUUUAAAUUAUAUUUUUUAAACUAUUUUAAGAAUAACAUCAUCUAUUUUAUAGAAGUUCUGUAUUUUUUUUAACUUUUUUUUGAUAAUUCGGCGGACCGAAACCUAACUGACUAAUAUCAUGGAAUCUGUCCACCGAUACUAAAUAGAUCCGGUUAUUUGCAAUGAGAAUUAAAUAUCCAUAUCACUUUGACCACACAAGCGGACAGUGGCGGAUCCAGACUAAUUAUUUAACGGGAGCACAUAAUAAAUAUAUAUAUAUAUUAAAUAAUAUAAAUAAUUAAUAUAAAAUAAAUAACUAUCUAUUUAAAAAUGUCGUAAAUGAGUAAUCAUUAAAAAUUUAAUAUAGACUAUUAGCAAAUUUAAUUUUGUUCAACUCAGAACAGACUAUAUAAGAUUUUUUUUUACAAAUGUAUAAUCACAAUAACAUAUUGUCGCAGUUAAAAUUAACUUGAAUAUUUAUAAAAAAUAGUCUUCAAGUUUACACAUAUACAACAGUAUAUCGAUAUCACACACAACUUGUUUGUAGUCAUUAUAUCAUAAGGUCUAAACUCUAAAAUACUAAAUAAAAUGAGUGGAUUAAUUAGUUUUAUUUCUUUAUUAGCAAUUGCUAACUAGUAAAAUAAUGGACUUAAAAAUGCAAAUUUUAAGAUAAAAUAUAAACUAUAAUAGAAAGAAUGAUAAAAAAGACAAAUAAAGAAAAGAAAAGAUAUGCUAACAAGAAAAAAUAAUAAUAUUAACAAUAAAACAAAAGGUAGGAUAAUCUCACUAAUAUAUAAUAGCUUUACGGAAAUUGUAAAAGUGGAGAAGACAUUAACUAUACAGCAAGAGAUAAACCAGGAAAAAUAAAGGUGUUGGGCUCGAACCAUGUAAAUGCUGAAGUAACCGGACAUCUUUACCAAUCGUUCCAACAAAAUAAAUAGUCACCGAGCUACAAAAUAAUAUUUGAAAACUAGUCGGGGGCACGUGCCCCCGUUCAUGGUACUGUAGAUCCGCUCCUGCAAGCGGGUAAAUUUAAAUUUAGUAAACUUCUAACCUAGGGUGCUUAACACCAUUCCAAGCCCGUGGUAGCACUAUAUAGUAUAUAGUUAGGUUCCAUAUUACUAAGAUUUUGUUUUUAUUUUCUUUUCCUCGUUCAAUAUUUAUAAGUUGCAGAAUUUUUAGUUCCCAAGUGUUUUAUUUUUUCCAAUGGAAGACACUAUUACAUAUAUGGUUUUUUUUUGGAAGAACAAAAAAAUUGGAUUAAAAUGUAUCUAAAAACCAAACAUUUCAAAUAGUUGUGCUAAUUGCAACUAGAUUAUAAUUUUUGGAAUGAAAUGAUAUGGAACGGUUGAUCCGUUAAUUCUACAUUUUUAAACCAUUUACUCUAUAUUUUUUUUUACCUUUUAUUAUAUUGUGAAUAGAAUAAAAUCUUUAUUAAAUAAAAAUAAAUAAAUAAAAUACAAAGAAAAUGAUUUUAUAGCAAUUUGUUUAUGAAUAAAUAGAAUAAAUCUAUUCCAUUUUUGAUGUAUUCGGUAUUCCACUCCUAUUAUUCUAUUUUAUUUAACUACAUUAAUUCUAUAUUAGUUUACCAGUUACUGUUUACAGUGGUCUCCAUUAUCUAAAUGCUAAAUUUCUUUUACAACAAACCCCCUAAAAAUUAACAUAAAAUAAUUUUUCCAUUCACUAUUUUCAGUUACCAUCAACAUCCUCCUAACAAUACGUCUAUAAAUCAUCCUAAAACCCACCCUCCCAAAAAUAUAAAAAAAAAGCCAAUUACAAAGGUAAUAAAUUACAAUUUUCCUAUAAAAUAUCUUUUUUCUUUUUGUUUAAACAAACAACAAUGCAUCACUAGUCUUCAAGUGUACUGUCCAUGGAAUUAUCUCUCCUAUGAUUUUCCGAUAGUCCCGAUCUAUCUCCAGUCCGCUCAACACUAUACGCCACCGUAGGUGGAAGCAAGGGAGCCUUCUUCUGAUGUUUUCUGGCAUGUCUCACCUUAAUGACACGUGUCAAAACCUGCACAGCAUCCCUCAUGUUGGGGCGUUUCCUUGGGGCAUGAGAUAUGCAUUUAUAUGCAAAAGCCGCAACUUCAUUCACUUCUUGUAUAUCAAACCUCCCAUCUAAUCUCGAAUCCACAAUCUCUUCCCACCCAACCUUCUCCUCUGCAUUCAUAGCCGCCUAAAACAAAAACUUGUCUUAGUAAUGUUUUCUUCAAAGAAACAAAUGUGGAGUUGAGGAUCAUGUUGGUGCCUCUUUUACCAGUUCAACAUAUUCCAUUAGACCUUGUUGAGGGUUUCUUCCAGCUAUAAGCUCAAAAAGCAAAACCCCAAAUUUUAAUUCUUUUCUUUGUCUUGUUUUAUUUCCCUUUUCCCCCAUCACAAUAACAUAUAUAUAGAUUUAUACUAACUUAAUUUUAAAUUGAAUUUGAUAAAUUAAUCAUUAACUUUUUUUCAUGUUCUUUUGAAAUCCAUAUUGUCUGCCAUAUAUUAUUUCCUUCAUUAUAUAAUAGAUGACUUUAAAUAUUCUUAUAUGAUUUCCUUCAACAAAAAUGUUGCUAAAUACGGAAAAGGUAACAAAAUAUAUAAUAAAUGACGUAUAAUAUUCUUGAUACUGAAAUCUAAUACAAUCGGAAAAAUAUGCACCACACGAAACGAAACAUUUUGGCAGUCAAAAGAUUGGCGUACAAAGAGAAGUUUAAAAAAAAAAGUCUUACUUUAAUUGUAUUGAUUCAUUAAUAUCAUAAAGGAAAACGCAAUAAAUAGUAAAUAUCCGACCUAAAACUUGCCGUGGUGGGCAAGGCUACCCUCUGUACUAAUGGAAAGGUUUUAGGAGGAGAAGAUGGAAUAUUAUCAAUUCUCUUAGAGCUGUCUCAGUUUUUUUUUUCCUAAGAACAUUCAUGACUUGUUUCUUAGCCGGCUCUUGAGGCUCCGCCUUGUGAAACCUGCGUUGGUGAGAAGAUCAUCCUCUGUUUCUCUUCUUAUCUCUAACGGCUUCUCAACUACUUCCCUGCGGCAAACCCCUCCUUGUUCCGUCAUCGGCGCUAGACCUUGUGGAGACGAUCUCGGAGGACUCAUAGUUGCCUAUGCAGAUACACAUGCCUGGACUGAACUGGACAAAAUGGUACGUCUGGAGUUGGUGUGUAACAGUAUUAAUCAUGGAAAAACACUAACGAUCGGGGCUUCUCAUGGGUGGGUAGCUAGUUUGAAGGAAGAUGGAACCCUGUGUCUCCAAGAUGAUCUAAACCCGUAUGCAUCGUAUACAGAUCCUAAACGCAUCCCUCUGCCUCCUCUUGUGACUCUGCCACAUUGUCAAACCAAAAUCAUCACCAACGUGUCAAUGUCAUCAUCUUCUCCAGAUGACGAUGAGGACUGUGUCGUGGCUGUCAAGUUCUUGGGACCUCAACUCAGCUUUUGCAAACCAGCCGGGAAGAGUAGUAAACCAGAGUGGACCAACAUCAAGAUCGAGAACCCUUGCUUCUACUCCUCACGUGUCAUGUUUUCCAAAAAGGACAACAUGUUUCGUAUUCCCGGAUCUGGAGGCCACCUCAUCGGCUCAUUGGAUCUCUUCGAACCUAACGAUAAGCUCAAGUUGCAGUGCGUUGGAUUUGAAAACCUUCCUCCUAAGCUACCCACUCCCCUUAUGGAUUCAUGCUGCAUGAGCCAACACUUGGUGGAGUCAACAUCCACAGGUGAGACUUUCUUGGUUAAGCAGUAUAGGAAGACGGCCAAGAUCGUCGAAGGUGUUGCCCAAAUGAAAACACAAUUUUUAAUGGUGUUCAAGCUAGACGAUGAAGGAAACGCGGUCUACACUCGAGACAUGGGAGAUCUCACCAUGUUCCUCUCAAUGUCUGAACCUUUCUGUGUCCCUUCUACUUCCUUUCCUGGUUUGCUUCCUAACUACGUUUACAUCUUGGAUUUCGACGAAACCGCAAUGGUUAGUCUGGUGGAUGGUUUCCCCUUAGUCGCUACAAAUGGAAAAACGGAUGCUCCUUACUACAUUCCACCUCAAAAUAUAUUAGACUGAGUCUAAACUAUAUCCUCCAGCUUCUAUAUCUUCAUAAGUAGAUUGUACUGUUUCCUGUUUUAUGUAUGAAAUAUUUGUUUUAAACGCCGUGAAAAUUGUUAACCGUUCGGUGGUCUGUGGCCGUGGACAUUUAGCUCACAUCAAUUAUAUAAUUAGAGAUAAGAAAUUGAAUAUCGACUUGUAGUAUUUUAAGCUUAGAAAUGGAAAAUAAUUCAAAUUUUUCAUAACAAUGCUUAAACCAUGUAAAGAGUGAGUUAAACCCGAGUUUUGAUGAGGAUACAUUGAGUGGCUGCUACCAAAUGAUUUUGUCUAUAAUUAUAUGUAAAUUAUCUGAUUUUGUCCAUAAUUAUAUUAUUUAGCUUUUGUUUAUGAUAAAAAAAUGUUGUUAAAUUUAUUAUUAAUUAAAUAUAAUAUUUUGAUGAAUGUAAAUAUUACAAAUUUAAAUCUACAUUUUAUUUAUUUAAAAUACAAUUUUACAAAUUUAAACUACAUUUAUUUAUUUAAAAUAAAAUUUUACAAAUUCAUAAAAUUAAAAUAUGAAGUAAAUGAAAAUUGUGUCUGCGACAACCAAACAAACAAAACUAAAUCUAAUUUCUGCGGCUGCGGCUGCGUCAAUGUUUUGUGUCUUUGAAAUGAACAACAAACUGCGGUUGCGACUGCGGCUGCGUCUGUUCGUUUGGUUAUUGAUCGUUUUGCAAAAGGCUGCGGCAACCAAACGAGCAGCACUAUUAAAUCAGUCAUCUUUAGAACUGACUUCGUACAUCAUCAAACCAAUACAUUCAAUAUAUACCAGUUUUGUGUGGUUCAAUAUAUACAGAACUCGGACUUCAAAUUUUGAUAUGUUACUCCUGAACUUGGGAAACACAUUUUUGUGCAUGGUCAACACAUAUAUCAUCGUCCCUGCAACAAAUGACUAUUCAAUGAGCCUUGGAACGGUUUGUGGUGUUGUGGAAUGGUUUGAUGGCAAAUACAUAGAACAUCGCAAGACCCACCACAAUCUCCACCAAGCGCAUCUCCACCGCCAACUCCUCCCUACCCUCCGCCGGAUGCGGCGGCGGCUUAUCCGGAUGCUCGAGAUCGAUAGCGAAUCUCAAAGACGUGAUCCACGGGAGCAAACGCCACUUCGAGAAACCGCCGAUAAGCAGUCCUCGCUCCAUCGGAAGCAACGAGUUCCUCAACCCCAUAACCCACGAAGUCAUCCUCAGCAACUCCACCUGCGAGCUCAAAAUCACCGGCGUCGGAGACAUGGCUUCCCCCGCCGGAGCAACGGAAUCCGGCGGUGGCGGCGGAGGAAACGGACGGUCGACGACUUUUGUGGGGAUGCUGAGGCCGGGGACGCCGAUGCAUCAUCUGAACCACUCUGCUUCUCACCGGAGCCAUGCUUCGUCGACGGCGGCGAAAAAGGGCUCCUUUGCUUCGUCGGAGAGAGAGGUAAUAGGAGAAGGGUUUCACACAAAGAGGAGAGUUUCUUUGGAGAUGAACAGAGACUCCGCCGUUAACGGAGGCAAAUACUCUGUUUCUUGCCAUAAGUGUGGUGAACAGUUCAGCAAACUCGAAGCUGCAGAAGCUCAUCAUCUCUCUAAACACGCCGGUAAACUCGAAACUUUAACCAUUGGGAUUAUAUAAUUAAUGAAUAUAUUAUAAAGUUUUCACCUUUAUGAAGAUUUUGUCGCAUUUUUAUAAUAUACUCUCUCCUACUUCAUAAAAAAUCCAUGUUUAAAAAUUUUCAAAUUUUUUAAUAAAAUAUAUUAAAACUUAUCAAUAAAUACAUAUUUUUUUAUAAUUUUAUAUUUUCUAUAUUUUUAAACUAAUAAAAUUUUAAGAAAUGCAAUUAAUAUUUUUAAACUUUACUAUUUUUUAUUAUUAGUUGACAAAAAUUACAUUAGAAAUAUAAAAUAUGUAUAUUUUUGAAACAAAUUUUUUUCUCAUAUAAUAAAGUUUUGAACUUUAUGAACAUUUUCGCAUAUUAAUAUAAAGUAAUAAGCUUUGCUCAUAAUAUUACAGUGACGGAGCUCGUAGAAGGCGACUCGUCAAGGAAGAUAGUGGAGAUAAUCUGUAGAACGAGCUGGUUAAAGUCAGAGAACCAAUGCGGGAGAAUAGACCGUGUCCUAAAAGUACACAACAUGCAGAAGACACUAGCUCGGUUCGAGGAGUACAGAGAGACGGUGAAGAUCAGAGCGAGCAAGCUCCAGAAGAAGCAUCCGAGAUGUCUCGCCGACGGCAACGAGCUGCUCAGGUUCCACGGCACCACCGUGGCUUGCGGUUUGGGGAUAAACGGGUCGACGAGCCUCUGCACGGCGGAAAAGUGCUGCGUCUGCCGGAUCAUACGGAACGGGUUCUCGGCGAAGCGGGAGAAGAAUAACGGUGUUGGGGUUUUCACGGCGUCGACGAGCGGGAGAGCGUUUGAGUCGAUUUUGGUGGAGGAGGGAGAUGGGGAGAGGACGGUGACGGUGAGGAAGGUGUUGAUUGUGUGUAGGGUUAUAGCCGGGAGAGUUCAUAGGCCGGUGGAGAAUGUGGAGGAGGUGAAUGGGUUGAUGAUGAGUGGGUUUGAUUCUUUGGCUGGAAAAGUUGGGUUGUAUACAAAUGUGGAGGAGCUUUAUUUGCUCAAUCCUAGAGCUUUGCUUCCUUGCUUUGUGGUAAUCUGCAAGUCUUAAAAAAUAUUUAGCAUUUUUGUUUUGGCAGAAAGGUCAAAAUGUUCUUGUUAUUUGUUCAUAAUUUCAGUUUUUACCAUCUUGUUCCGAAUUUGUUUUCAAGGUGAAUUUGGAAUUUAAAUUUUUAAUUUUCGGCUAGUUUAUGUCUGAGUUCUUAAUUAUUCUUACCUAGAGAGACAAAAAUAUUUUGUUCAUAUUAUGUUAGAUAAAUUUGUAUUUUGGCGUAUAUUAUACUAACGUAAAAAGAUGUGGUAAGAGAUAGAUUGUAAAGUGUGUCAGAGUGAGAAUUUUAGUUUCACGGGUGGCCUGUUGGUAAAAGUGCUACUAUAAAUGCCAAGUUCAUUCAGUAAAAAGUUCUUACAAAAAUCGAUAAAUAAGAAAAAACUCAUCAACAAAUUAAACAAACAUGAUAAUUUUUUUUGGUCGACGGUAAACCUUUCAAAGAUUUGGAACAUGAACGUUUGCUUCAUUGCUUGUUUGGUUGAAUCGUGUUAAUUGUUCAAUAUGGAUUUAUGUUGUUUAAAGUGUUUUCAUAUUUUUUUUAACUUCUAUUAUAUACAUAUCAAUAAUACAUAAUAUAUGAUGUACAGUAGAACAUAUCAUAUAUGUAUAGUACUCAGACGACCCAAAGACAUUUGGUUUUCUUUAGCUUCAAAAUUUUGUUUGGAACCAUCCCCGUAUAGUCCUAGAUUACAUACAAAAUGAAUAUUUAUAUAAGAAAACAUGGCAUAUAAAAACAAAAAUAACAUUAAUGAUAAUUAGACAUUUUGCUAAAACGAAUAAAAUGGUCCAUACUAAAUUACUCGAUAGUUUUCAUAAUGUCAGCGAGACAAAGCUUACGUCAAAGGUGUCGACAAAAUUCUAUCCCAUGCAAACAUUUAUUUGGAGCUUUUAUUAGUUCUAUCUGCAAAAGCCACCCUCUCAUCAAUAUAUAUCCGCCGAGAAAAGAAAAAUCAGAAUAUGCGAGCCCAAUAAUAAUAAAAGUUUCAAAUCUUGAAAUUUCGAAUUUUGAAAACAAAUAUACAUUUUGUUUUUUUUUAGAUAUAUUAUUUCAGGGCUCUGCAAAAAUAUUUGUGAUAAUACAUUUUGUACUUAAAGUUGUUUGUGGACAAAGCAAAUUUUGUUUAAGAGGGAGCAUAGUCUAGUGAAAAUGAAUCAUAGAUAUCUCAAAAUGUGGCUAUUUCGAUAUUUGAUUACGUAUACAUACAAUGUAUGUUCAUUUUUCUUUUUUGAACUGACACAUAAUAAAUGUAUAUUUGAGAACGAAUGAGAAAUGACGAGGCCUGAAAUGGACAGUGUAUCUAUAUCAACCGCCGAAGUAACGGUGGGAUCAUACCACAUGCCGUCUCAGAAAAUUGUAUUCUAUACAAACCUUGUAAUUAAUUAUCUCCACUCGACAACAAUCUAUGUCGUCAUUUUCGGAUCUUUUAUAUAAUGACGAGAACGCAUUAGUAAUCCCCUAAAUAUGCGAAAUAUACAGAAGCUAAAAGCGAGCUGAUUAAGGCUUAAAGACCAUGGUUUAGCCACAUAUGAAAGCGUUUGUAGAUUCUUUGUUCCCUGUAAAAAGUUGAUUGUAAGAAACAUAUUUCGUAGCUUUGUAAGUGGAGAAAGUGUUUAUCUGGUACGAUUUUUACACUUUUAACUUAAAAUGGAUUUUCAAUAUAUCCAUCAUCAAAUACAUAGGUCCAUUAGUCUACAAAUCAAAAGUGCAAUGAAGAAGAAAUAAGGGAGAUGCUAAGAUGCUGAGCCAGCUGCAACUUGAGUUGUUUCUUUAUCCUUAGCCUCCUUAAGUUGCUUCCAUUUCUCAAUGGUGUCGAUAAGUUCCCCAGUUUUGAUCAGAUAUCUCACCUUCUGUCCAUCUUCGAGGACCUUGUGACCCACCCGGCUAACCACCUCCUUUUCUUUCGAAUACAGCAUCACAUUUGAGCUGUGAAUCGGUGCUUCAAUCUGGAAAACAUAAUGCAUUUUAGCACAAUCCUCAAUCAUCAUCACUGCCAAAGGCAAAGUGAAGGGAGCUACACGAUGUGGUUUCUGUUUUGCAAAUUAUUUUUAAGAGAGUCAUGUGAGUGGUGUCUGACCUUGAGAAUUUGGCCAGGCUCUCCCUCUUCACGGCUCUUCAUGUGUUUAGUCUUGAGGUUGACAUCUUUGAUGACAAUGGUGCUGUUGUGGGUAAAGAUCUUAGUGACUUCCCCAAUCUUACCCUUGUCUCGUCCAGAUAUAACUUUGACCGUAUCACCAAACUUGACAUGCAUUUUGUGCAGGAUUGGAAGACUGUUUGGUUUGCAUU
rnacentral:lncRNA from 1 species